GACGAACGCUGGCGGCGUGCUUAACACAUGCAAGUCGAACGGAAAGGCCCUGCUUUUGUGGGGUGCUCGAGUGGCAAACGGGUGAGUAACACGUGAGUAACCUGCCCUUGACUUUGGGAUAACUUCAGGAAACUGGGGCUAAUACCGGAUAGGAGCUCCUGCUGCAUGGUGGGGGUUGGAAAGUUUCGGCGGUUGGGGAUGGACUCGCGGCUUAUCAGCUUGUUGGUGGGGUAGUGGCUUACCAAGGCUUUGACGGGUAGCCGGCCUGAGAGGGUGACCGGCCACAUUGGGACUGAGAUACGGCCCAGACUCCUACGGGAGGCAGCAGUGGGGAAUAUUGCACAAUGGGCGGAAGCCUGAUGCAGCAACGCCGCGUGCGGGAUGACGGCCUUCGGGUUGUAAACCGCUUUCGCCUGUGACGAGGCGUGAGUGACGGUAAUGGGUAAAGAAGCACCGGCUAACUACGUG
rnacentral:rRNA from 1 species